rnacentral:rRNA from 1 species
GACAGAGGGUGCAAACGUUGCUCGGAAUCACUGGGCGUAAAGGGCGUGUAGGCGGGACGGUAAGUCGGGCGUGAAAUCCCUAGGCUCAACCUAGGAACUGCACUCGAAACUACCAUUCUUGAGUGUCGGAGAGGAAAGCGGAAUUCCUGGUGUAGAGGUGAAAUGCGCAGAUAUCAGGAAGAACACCCGUGGCGAAGGCGGCUCUCUGGGGACGGUACUGACGCUGAGACGCGAAAGCGUGGGGAGCGAACAGG